rnacentral:rRNA from 1 species
AUGGUCCUUGGGUACUCCCAGGCGGAAGCCCAGCGAAUCGCCAAUCGCUUGAACUGUCGCUUGGGAUCCUUCCUGACCACAUACGUCGGCAUGCCAAUUAAUGACGCCCGUCUACAGGAGAAAGACUUCCGCCCAAUAAUCUCCAAGCUCCAACCUAGGAUGGAGCCUUGGCAAGGGAGGUGGCUUUCCAAGGCCGCUCGAGUGAUUCUGAUGAACUCCUCCCUUAUUAGCCUAUUGAUGUACAUUAUGGGAUUCUAUAGUCUACAUGAAUCCCUUCAUCAUGAGGUCAUCAAACUCCUCUCCAGAUUCUUCUGGGCCGGAGAGAACAAUAAACAGAAGUAUCACAUGGUAAAGUGGUCUGAGAUUUGUAAGCCUAAGGACCAGGGCAGCCUCGGGGUCAUUUCAUCCAAGCAGAUGAAUAUUGCCCUCCUCUCCAAAUGGCUUUGGCGUAUUCAGACUGAUGAGGGUUGACUGUGGCUA